rnacentral:rRNA from 1 species
GAUGAACGCUGGCGGCGUGCCUAAUACAUGCAAGUCGAGCGAACGGACGAGAAGCUUGCUUCUCUGAUGUUAGCGGCGGACGGGUGAGUAACACGUGGAUAACCUACCUAUAAGACUGGGAUAACUUCGGGAAACCGGAGCUAAUACCGGAUAAUAUUUUGAACCGCAUGGUUCAAAAGUGAAAGACGGUCUUGCUGUCACUUAUAGAUGGAUCCGCGCUGCAUUAGCUAGUUGGUAAGGUAACGGCUUACCAAGGCAACGAUGCAUAGCCGACCUGAGAGGGUGAUCGGCCACACUGGAACUGAGACACGGUCCAGACUCCUACGGGAGGCAGCAGUAGGGAAUCUUCCGCAAGGGGCGAAAGCCUGACGGAGCAACGCCGCGUGAGUGAUGAAGGUCUUCGGAUCGUAAAACUCUGUUAUUAGGGAAGAACAUAUGUGUAAGUAACUGUGCACAUCUUGACGGUACCUAAUCAGAAAGCCACGGCUAACUACG